rnacentral:rRNA from 1 species
AGGAAGCAGCUUGCUGCUUUGCUGACGAGUGGCGGACGGGUGAGUAAUGUCUGGGAAACUGCCUGAUGGAGGGGGAUAACUACUGGAAACGGUGGCUAAUACCGCAUAACGUCGCAAGACCAAAGAGGGGGACCUUCGGGCCUCUUGCCAUCAGAUGUGCCCAGAUGGGAUUAGCUUGUUGGUGAGGUAACGGCUCACCAAGGCGACGAUCCCUAGCUGGUCUGAGAGGAUGACCAGCCACACUGGAACUGAGACACGGUCCAGACUCCUACGGGAGGCAGCAGUGGGGAAUAUUGCACAAUGGGCGCAAGCCUGAUGCAGCCAUGCCGCGUGUAUGAAGAAGGCCUUCGGGUUGUAAAGUACUUUCAGCGGGGAGGAAGGUGUUGUGGUUAAUAACCGCAGCAAUUGACGUUACCCGCAGAAGAAGCACCGGCUAACUCCGUGCCAGCAGCCGCGGUAAUACGGAGGGUGCAAGCGUUAAUCGGAAUUACUGGGCGUAAAGCGCACGCAGGCGGUCUGUCAAGUCGGAUGUGAAAUCCCCGGGCUCAACCUGGGAACUGCAUUCGAAACUGGCAGGCUUGAGUCUUGUAGAGGGGGGUAGAAUUCCAGGUGUAGCGGUGAAAUGCGUAGAGAUCUGGAGGAAUACCGGUGGCGAAGGCGGCCCCCUGGACAAAGACUGACGCUCAGGUGCGAAAGCGUGGGGAGCAAACAGGAUUAGAUACCCUGGUAGUCCACGCCGUAAACGAUGUCUACUUGGAGGUUGUGCCCUUGAGGCGUGGCUUCCGGAGCUAACGCGUUAAGUAGACCGCCUGGGGAGUACGGCCGCAAGGUUAAAACUCAAAUGAAUUGACGGGGGCCCGCACAAGCGGUGGAGCAUGUGGUUUAAUUCGAUGCAACGCGAAGAACCUUACCUGGUCUUGACAUCCACAGAACAUUCCAGAGAUGGAUUGGUGCCUUCGGGAACUGUGAGACAGGUGCUGCAUGGCUGUCGUCAGCUCGUGUUGUGAAAUGUUGGGUUAAGUCCCGCAACGAGCGCAACCCUUAUCCUUUGUUGCCAGCGGUCCGGCCGGGAACUCAAAGGAGACUGCCAGUGAUAAACUGGAGGAAGGUGGGGAUGACGUCAAGUCAUCAUGGCCCUUACGACCAGGGCUACACACGUGCUACAAUGGCGCAUACAAAGAGAAGCGACCUCGCGAGAGCAAGCGGACCUCAUAAAGUGCGUCGUAGUCCGGAUUGGAGUCUGCAACUCGACUCCAUGAAGUCGGAAUCGCUAGUAAUCGUGGAUCAGAAUGCCACGGUGAAUACGUUCCCGGGCCUUGUACACACCGCCCGUCACACCAUGGGAGUGGGUUGCAAAAGAAGUAGGUAGCUUAACCUUCGGGAGGGCGCUUACCACUUUGUGAUUCAUGACUGGGGUGAAGUCGUAACAAGGUAACCGUAGGGGAACCUGC